rnacentral:lncRNA from 1 species
CACAGCCGGACGCAGGACUUCCAGCCACCCUGCUGUGCCAAUGCACCCUGCCUCUUAUCGCCCAGCCUGUCAGCCCGGUGACCGCCCUCACAGAGCCAGCCUGGACCCGCAGGGCUGGGGUGGAAGAGGAAACCCAUGCCAGUCCCUGCACUGUGGCUCCGUCUCCUAGCGCACCUCCCAGGGCUCUCGCCCGCUUCCUCCACCUGAGGGGAGUGUGGGUCCCCCGGAACACAGCCUGCCGCAGCCCACUGCCCGUCACCCUCCCACCCUCCUGCUGUGAAUGUGGUCUGUCGCGCCCUGCGGGGAUCAGUCCUGCUGGCUCGGCGCAUCCCAGGGCCCAGCCGCGCUCCUGGGUGGAGACAGGACACACAGGCAUUGGCUACUCUGGAGGGCCUGCGCUCCACGGCCCGGGGGUGGGGAGCCUGGGGUAGCUGGGAGCCCCGUCUACACCACAUCUCCUCCCUCGAGGCCUGUGGCACUGCCACAGCACCAGCCCGCCUGCCCUGCCAUGCCGGGCCCGGGUGCCUCCUCUGCACCACUCCUCGUGCCCUUGAAGGCCAUCGUUAAGUGACACAAGCAUUGCUUCACCACAAAGCACCGCGAUACCCCCAAGUCGACCUGAGGCCCAGGUAGCUGUUAAGUGACUGACGGGUGGGCAGCAUGUGCAGUGCAGGGACCCUGGACUGACUCACACCCAGGCAGGACAGAUUGGGUGACGUGAGAUCUCAUCACACAUCUCAGGACGACAAGCAAUUUAAAACUUAUGAACUGUUUAUUUCUGGAAGCUUCCACUUGAUAUUAUUGAUUGGACCACGGUGACUGAAGCCAUGGACACUGAAACCUUGGAAGGGGCAGCUGUAAGUGUUACUCCUUAGCUGGAAGGCACAGAAUCACCACGGCUAGAGGCCCGGGAGGGGUUUUGCUCCAUGAAGGAAGAGCCUCCGGGUGGUGGUUAGCUUCUGGUUGCGGGCAGUGUGCAAGGAGAAGG